rnacentral:lncRNA from 10 species
CAGAGGCUUUCCUGCUGGAAGGGCUGCUGGAAGCCAUCUUCGCACGGUUCUUCCCUUGGCUUUAGAGCCCCGAAGCGCUCUUUGACUUGAGCUGCUUUGCAUUCUCUCUGUCCUGCCAUCGAGAAAGUUCUGAGCGGCUCAGAAGUAAUACUGACACUAUCAACGGAGGGGGACUGCAGUUUCGCUGGUGGCCCCACAGCCCCCUGCCUCCAGCCAGGGGACAAAGAACAGGAGGGAUCCAGAGGUGAGAGAGGAGGUGCACAGUAGCUGCAGGGCCGGACCCUGAUGAAGGGAGAUGCUGUCCCACACGGAGCCCCUGCCAGCCCCCAGAUCACCAAGGCUGGAGCCCCCCAGUGACUCUGCUGGUCACGUCUGUGGGAUCCCUGCUCACCCCUCUGUCCUCACCCCUUCCCUCUCCCCCUGGCCACCUGCAGCCUCCUCCUGCCUGCUCAGCCGUGGGUCUCUUUCCCUCUGAUCCACUCACCAUGGGACCGCCAGGCAGCUCCCAAAUCCAAACAUGACCAUGAGCUGCCCCGGCUUGAAACCCAAGCAUGACCCCCUGUCACAGGCUGGACCAAGUCCUGAGUUCCUAAACCACCUUCAGGGCUGCCUGCACCUGCACCUCCCGCUCC